UUUGCAUUAUAUAAUGUAAUAUCAAGGUGGCAUUUAUAUCUAUCUAUCUAUCUAUCUAUCUAUCUAUCUAUCUAUCUAUCUAUCUAUCUAUCUAUCUAUCUAUCUAUCUAUCUAUCUAUCUGUCUGUCUGUCUGUCUGUCUGUCUGUCUGUCUGUCUGUCUCUCUGCCUGUCUGUCUGUCUGUCUGUCUGUCUGUCUCUCUGCCUGUCUGUCUAUAUUGUGGUUGAAAAAUGUUGGAUGGUAUUUGAGGAGAACAGACUUCACAUCUACUAUAUAUAUAUGUUGCAUUAAAUACAUUUUAAAUAAAAAAAAAUAUAUAUAUAUUUAAUUAUUAUUCUUCCUUAAAGGAGGAACUGUAUGCAAUGCAUUUAAACCCAAUGCAUUAAUGGAAAAAACAAUAUUUAGAUAUUGAUUUCACCAUUUUGAAAAGAAAAUAAUAAUAAUAAUUAUUUGCAAUAUGUCCCCCAAAAAAACUGUUUGUCCUACCUCCCCACUUAUUUUAGUCUCUUUUUCCUUCUCCUUUGCACUGCUUUUCUCCUUCAUUCGACUGUCUCUCCUGUGGAGUGGGCGUUGUGGUGGAUGGUGUUGGCAUACAGCUGUCAGAGAUGAAGACAUACAAAGCAAAAGGAUGUGUGUAGGAGGACUGGAGAUGGAAGAAGCUUUUGUAUCUUCAAUCAGACGCCGCUCAGCGAUUAAUCUCACUCCAUGGUCAUCUGCUCAUGGAAACAUUUGAAGUUUUCAAGACGACAUGUACAAAUGCAAUUAUCAUCUUAUUUAAUGUUCAAACUAAAUGAUGAAGUUCUCCUCAUAAAGCUUCCAAGUUCUCCUGGAAUAUUUUCAUUUUCUGCACUCGUGUGGUGUUUUGAUAGCCAGAGAUUUUAACAAGAGAUUUUUUCCCCUCAAUACCACUCACCUUCAAGUAAGAUUUAUAGUCGCUGCUAGCGGUUUUUCAUUUAUGAGUUAAGAUUAGGAUUUGGACGGGCCAGAAAACAGCCCUGCAUCCCAUAAAAAUCUAAUUCUGCCCAUGGGUGGCUGCCUGGCUAUGCAACAGUCUCUUUAAGAGUUAUGAAGGUAGGGAAAACGGGAUAGUAGAUACGGAUCAGAAAGGUUGCAGGUUCACUCCCAGUUUGAAGUACCUGAGCAACUCGGGAGUUCCAGAGAUCACAAUCCUACUCUAGUCGCUAAUACAAUUUAUGCCUUGAAGCAAGGCACUUAACCACUAGUUCAUCCAUUGGGACUGUCCCUGGAUUUUGUGUACAGUAAAUUGCUUAAGUUAAACUACAUUAUAACCAUACAGAUGGGGCUGUAUUAGUGUUGUCUUCUAAAAACAUACAGCGAAGAGGGCAGUGCUAGAAGCAGGAGCUUUUGGCAUUGAAACACCAGGCUUUUUUCUUCCCUCAUUCAUCACAGUGAUUGCCCAGAUCAAUUCACAUUUGUGCUUUACCUGGCUCUAACUCAAAUGCAUUUCACCAGAAU
ensembl:lncRNA